CACACGACAAAAGACAUUAGAAACGCUUUAAUUCAAUUCAAGUUUAUUUAUAUAGCGCUUUUCACAAUGUGCAUUGUUCAAAAGCAGCUUUACAGGGGCAAACAGGAAAAAGAGAAAAGGCUACCGGUUGAAGCCCGGAUCAGAUUCAAGUCACUAAUGCUUGCCUACAGGACUAUCACUGGAUCUGCACCGGCAUACUUUAACACCCGCCUACAUUCCCACACCCCAUCAAGAACCCUCCGUUCAGCAAACCAGCGGCGUCUUGUUCUGUCUUCCCAUAAGGGCAGUAAAUUGUUUUCCCGUUCA